AGUGCGCUGCACCUUUAAACAUGAACCCUGUGUGCACUGUUCAGUAACAGCGAUACUGUGCUGCACUUCCAGUUUUGGGACCUAGAAUUAUGUGUUGACUGCAAUGGCUGCGUCCACCGAGUCAUUUUACCUGGGGUUUGAUUUCAGCACUCAACAACUGAAGGUGGUUGCUGUUGAUGGGAACCUAAGUGUUGUCCACCAGGACAAUGUGCAGUUUGACAGUGAACUGCCAGAAUUCGGGACUCAGGGAGGGGUCCAUAUCCAUGCAGACAGUCUGACUGUCACUUCUCCUGUGCUCAUGUGGGUAAAGGCACUUGACCUGAUCCUUGGCAAGAUGAAGAAUGCAGGAUUUGACUUCUCGCGUGUGAAAGCCCUAUCUGGGAGUGGCCAGCAACAUGGCAGUGUGUAUUGGAGGAAAGGGACCAACCAAGUUCUCAGGGAUCUCCAGCCAGGAAAAAGUUUGCAUGAACUUCUGAAGGGUGGUUUUGCAGUGUCAGAUAGUCCAGUGUGGAUGGACUCCAGCACUACAGAGCAGUGUCAGUACCUGGAGACAGCAGUAGGUGGCGCUCAGAGAGUUGCAGACAUCACGGGCUCCCGGGCCUAUGAGCGUUUCACUGGAAAUCAGAUUGCCAAGAUUUACAAGGCCCAACCAGAGAAGUACGAGGACACAGAGAGAAUCUCAUUGGUCAGCAGCUUUGCUGCCUCUCUCUUCCUGGGCAGCUAUGCAGCUAUUGAUUACAGUGACGGUUCAGGGAUGAAUUUGAUGGACAUUUUCAGCAAACAGUGGGCAGACUCCUGUCUUGAGGCUACUGCUCCUCACCUGGAGGAGAGGCUGGGAGCCCCUGUGCAUUCUUCAGCUGUCUUGGGCCUCCUCUCUCCUUACCAUGUCACUCGUUAUGGCUUCCCAGAGGACUGCAAGGUGGUGGCAUUCACUGGGGAUAACCCAGGGUCCCUGGCUGGGAUGAGGUUACAGGAAGGAGACAUAGCCGUGAGUCUUGGCACUAGCGACACAGUCUUCCUGUGGAUCAAAGAGCCGAGGCCCACAGUGGAAGGACACAUCUUCUGCAACCCAGUGGACCGGCCCUCCUAUAUGGCUUUGAUAUGCUAUAAGAAUGGCUCCCUGACCAGAGAGAGGAUCAGAAACAAGUGUGCUGGAGGGUCAUGGGAAGUCUUCUCCUCGGUCCUGAGGACUACACCAAUAGGGAACUACGGGAACAUAGGGAUUUAUUUUGAUGCCAUGGAAAUCACACCGUCUGCAGUCGGAGUUCACAGAUUUGACAAAGAAAAUACGAAGGUAGCCGGCUUCUCCGCCCAGGGGGAAAUCCGAGCCCUGGUUGAGGGACAGUUCCUGGCAAAGAGGGUCCACGCCGAAAAGCUGGGUUAUAAGAUCAUUCCAGGAACUCGAGUGCUGGCCACCGGAGGGGCUUCUUCUAACAAGGACAUUCUGCAGGUGCUAUCUGACGUGUUCGAUGCUCCCGUGUACACCAUUGACGUGGCCAACUCUGCCUGUCUAGGCUGUGGCUACAGGGCCCUGCAGGGUGACUACCUCAUGAAGCUGGUUGAGAGAAUGUCGAGAGCGUGCAAAGCUGUCAAGGCAAAGGACUUGUUGCUGAAUCAGGAGUGUCCUUCGCUGAGGCGGUGAAAAAAGCCCCAGAAGCCCAGCUAGCAGUGACCCCAACACCUGGAGCUGACAAGGUGUUUGCUCCCCUGUUGAGGCGUUACGCUGAGCUGGAGGAGAGAGUGCUCCAGGAAUCAAAGCAGUGACUGAACACUGGCAAUUAUUUCAAUCAGCACAUUUCUCCAUGGUCUGAUGAGCAAAUAAGAAGGACUUGCAAACCUGUGCCUUACACGUAAUUCCAACCUCUUUAGUUUGACUUUGUAAAACACCUUAAAUAUUAUUUUUUUACAGGUAAUUUUUCAUGAAUGUAUCUGCAAGUGACACAACCCUCUUCAAUUUGUUUAGUUGUGAUGAUACUAAGAAUACCUCAUUUUCUUUGCAUUCUUCGCUUCUGUCUGGUUGCUGAAUACACAAUUAAUCUCUGUUGUCAUGCCAUGAUCAUUUCAAUGGGCAUUUAGAUAGUCAAACAAGUAUUUUUGGAAGUAUGAAAGUUCCAUAAGGGAAUUGUCUUCUCACUCAGAAAUAAACUGAAAAAUGUUGUUCUCAUGGGAAUUCUGAAAGAUCUACAGUAUUAUGAGUAUUCUGAAUCUUCAUUUAUCUACUGUGCUGAUGCCCUCGAAUUUCUUCAAACAAUAAAAUCUAUUGAACUUUUCAUGACAA